GACUUGACAUCUCCUGAAUUACUCUUAAUCGAGGAAGUCCCUUCGGGGACAGGAAGACAGGUGGUGCAUGGUUGUCGUCAGCUCGUGUCGUGAGAUGUUGGGUUAAGUCCCGCAACGAGCGCAACCCUUAUUGUUAGUUGCUACUAUUAAGUUAAGCACUCUAACGAGACUGCCGCGGUUAACGUGGAGGAAGGUGGGGAUGACGUCAAAUCAUCAUGCCCCUUAUGUCUAGGGCUACACACGUGCUACAAUGGCUGGUACAACGAGCAGCAAACCCGCGAGGGGGAGCAAAACUUGAAAGCCAGUCCCAGUUCGGAUUGUAGGCUGAAACUCGCCUACAUGAAGUUGGAGUUGCUAGUAAUCGCGAAUCAGCAUGUCGCGGUGAAUACGUUCCCGGGUCUUGUACACACCGCCCGUCACACCAUGAGAGCCGGUAACACCCGAAGCCCGUGAGGUAACCGUAAGGAGCCAGCGGUCGAAGGUGGGAUUGGUGAUUGGGGUGAAGUCGUAACAAGGUAGCCGUAGGAGAACCUGCGGCGGGAUCACCUCCUUUCUAGGGA
rnacentral:rRNA from 1 species